UCCGUUAGUAGUGGCGAGCGAACGCGGACCAGGCCGUGCAGUAAUAAAAGCCGAACCAGUUGGAAAGCUGGGCAAUAUGGGUGACAGCCCCGUAGGCGUUUAAAAAUCUGCCGUUAGAGUAGGGCGGGACACGUGAAAUCCUGUCUGAACGUGGGGGGACCACCCUCCAAGCCUAAGUACUCGUGCAUGACCGAUAGUGAACAAGUACCGUGAGGGAAAGGUGAAAAGCACCCCGACGA
rnacentral:rRNA from 1 species